rnacentral:snRNA from 1 species
AGGUAGAAUGAUAUCUGUCAUCCCAUUGAUCAGCAGAGUUGAUUUGGCUGCUCUAGUUGGCUAGACGGGUUUCCCAUUCCUCUCUCAUUGCUCCAUGUGCAUCCCUGAUGAAGCUUGGUGGAAGAGGACAGCCAUCCCAGAUAGAAGGAAUGUACCAAUCUUCGAUCAAGGGUACACAAUAUUUUUUUUAUCAGUAAACCAGAUAAGCAUAAGGUUGUCUUCAUCUUUGUCUGCUGACGUCUUUU